GCACUUAAAGGGCCCACCUGGUUGGGUCCCUCCCUAUUGCUCAAUGUGUCAGGUGCUUAAAUGGCCCCCACCUGAAGUUGGGGGGGUCCUUCUCUGUUGCUGGGCAUGUCAGGCACUUAAAGGGACCCCCGACUGGGGUCCUUCACUGUUGGGAGUGUCAGGCACUUAAAGGGGACCGUGCCUGGAGUCCUUUUCUGUUUCUUUGCACAUCGGGCACUUAAAGGGCCCCCUGCCUGGGGUCCUAUUGUGUUGCUUGGCAUGACAGGCUUUUAAAUGGCCACCCUGGCUGGGGUCCUUCUCUGUGGCCUGGUGCGUCAGGCACUUAAAAGGCCACCCUGGCUGGGGUCCUUCUCUGUUGCUUGGCAUAUCAGGCAUUUAAAGGGCCGCCCUGGCUGAGGACGUUCCCUGUUGGUCAAUGUGUCAGGUGCCUAAGGGCCCCGCCCACCCCGUUGGGGUCCUUCUCUGUUGCUCAGUGUGUCAGGUGUUUAAAGGGUCCCCAUGGUUGGAGUCCUUCUCUGUUGCUUGGAGGGACAGGCACUUAAAUGGCCACCCUAGCUAGGGUCCUUCUCUAUUGCUUCGUGUGUCAGGCACUUAAAUGCCUACCCUGGCUGAGGUCCUUCUCUAUUACGUGGCGUGUCAGGCACUUAAAGGGCCUCUGACUGGGGUCCUUCACUGUUGCUCAGUUCACCAGGUGCUUAAAUGACGCCCCUGGCUUGAGUUUUUCACUGUUGCUUGGUGUGUCUGGAGCUUAAAUGGCCACAUUCCCUGGGUUCCUUAUCUGUUGCUUGGUGCAUCAGGCACUAAAGCCUGCCCCCGUCCCCCCCCUACCCCCCCAGCACCCGGUUUGGGUCCUUCCCUACUGCUCUCUGUAUCAGGGGCAUAAGGGACCCCCUGCUUGGGGUCCUUCUCUGUUGCUUGCCACAUCAAGCGCUUAAAUGGCCA
ensembl:lncRNA